CCUACGGGAGGCAGCAGUGGGGAAUUUUGGACAAUGGGGGCAACCCUGAUCCAGCCAUGCCGCGUGAGUGAAGAAGGCCUUCGGGUUGUAAAGCUCUUUCAGCCGGAACGAAACGGUCACGGCUAAUACCCGUGACUAAUGACGGUACCGGAAGAAGAAGCACCGGCUAACUACGUGCCAGCAGCCGCGGUAAUACGUAGGGUGCGAGCGUUAAUCGGAAUUACUGGGCGUAAAGCGUGCGCAGGCGGUUUUGUAAGUCAGAUGUGAAAUCCCCGGGCUUAACCUGGGAACUGCGUUUGAAACUGCAAGGCUAGAGUGUAGCAGAGGGGGGUGGAAUUCCACGUGUAGCAGUGAAAUGCGUAGAGAUGUGGAGGAACACCGAUGGCGAAGGCAGCCCCCUGGGCUAACACUGACGCUCAGGCACGAAAGCGUGGGGAGCAAACAGGAUUAGAUACCCUGGUAGUCCACGCCCUAAACGAUGUCAACUAGUUGUCGGGUCUUAACGGACUUGGUAACGCAGCUAACGCGUGAAGUUGACCGCCUGGGGAGUACGGUCGCAAGAUUAAAACUCAAAUGAGUUGACGGGG
rnacentral:rRNA from 1 species